GAAAAUCCCGCCUUGGGCCAAUCCCUAGUUAAAAUUUUGCAGAAGGUGAAAAUGGAGUAAAUGGAAGCAAGUAUUCUGUUUAAAGACUGGCUCCUCCAUAACUUACAAGUGUGAGCAUUACAUUCUUUCUUCUUCCCUUUGUGUCUUUUUGUCUUCUCUGUAUAUUACGUUAAGAUAUGGAUAAGAUACAUCUUUUAUGUAAUUCUCAAGGUCAUGUGGUCACUUCAUUUUUUGCAAGUUGUGCAUGCUAAUUAUUUUUACAUGUGGACUUGUAAUAAAUUAGGUUAAUGUUGGCUGUUCUGUGGUUAUUGUGAUUAAUUAAUUCGAUUUAAAUUACUCAUUUAAAAAUAU
rnacentral:misc_RNA from 1 species